AGCAUGUAAAGGUUUGAUUUUCAGCCUUAAUGAUUAUUUUGGUUGUUAUUUGGUUUCUCUUUUGGGAAAAAUUGUUGGUUUUGGAUCAUUGGGUAUUUUGUUUUUAGAGCAAUUAAGGUUGUUAGUUAUGUGCAGAUUGGUGUAAUGAUGAGGGUUUUGACCAAUUUUUUUUCAUCAUCUGGAUAAAAGUUUCAUCAUUACUCCUUUUUUUUUCUUUUUCUGUGAUGCUAUGAUGUUGUUUUUGUCAGUCCUAACCCUCCUUUCUAGUUCAUCAUUAGGCAGAUCUUUCCCAUGAUGACUUCCUGUUUCUGAUCUGUCUGUUUCUGCUUGUUUCAGAUCUGGCUUUGAACUUUGGUAAACAUUCUCUCUUCUUUUCAACGCUAUCCUUUUUUUUUCCUUUUCACAUCUCUCUAGGGUUUCAAGGUGGAGAGCUUUGUUGGCUCUUCCUCAAAAUGAAUCUUUUUGAACCAAGGUAGGCCUCAGUAAAGGACCAAAGGUAAACGGAAAAGAAAGGUUUGCCCUUUCUUUACAGUUUGAAAAUUCCAUGAAAAAAGAUUUCUUGCAAUGAGUUA
rnacentral:lncRNA from 1 species